AUAAGUGUUCAAGCAGGCAGACCAUUUCUUCUGCCACCGAAUACAUUAGCAUGGAUAAUGGAAUAGGACCCUGUCCUCCUAUUUUACGUGUUGGUUUUCGAGGACCGGGUAAUGAUUAAUAGGGAUAGUUGGGGGCAUUAAUAUUUAAUUGUCAGAGGUGAAAUUCUUGGAUUUAUGAAAGAUUGACUUCUGCGAAAGCAUCUGCCAAGGAUGUUUUCAUUAAUCAAGAACGAAAGUUAGGGGAUCGAAGACGAUCAGAUACCGUCGUAGUCUUAACCAUAAACGAUGCCGACCAGCGAUUAGGAGACGUUGAAUACAAAACACCACCGUUGGGUCGUGGCGGGCCGUGCCCCGCGGUCCGUCGUGCGCGGCGAGCGUGCGGCGGCCACGGGGACCGCGGUCCGUAUCAGCCACCCGACGGCCCGGUGAAUGACUCCCCUA
rnacentral:rRNA from 1 species